CGAAAAAAGUUCUUUAAUUUAAAGUUUAGGUUUAUCGGCUAAAUCUUGUCCGCCAUAUUUGUUAUUGUUAUUGCAACGUAAGCAGUUUAGCGGGUGAGUUCGGGCGAAAAGCAGGUGAGUUCGGCAAAAAGCAGGUGGGCUCGACGACAAGUAGCCUCCUUCGCAGCCGCUCUCCCCCCCACGAGCGGCUGCUCACUCGAGCACAACAUUCCAUUCCCUUUGUCUAACGUUAGCCAAUCAGAGUUAGCGUAAUAUAAUAUCUUAAUAAAUUUUCCCGCGAAAUUCUCAGUAUCAAUUCCAG